rnacentral:rRNA from 1 species
UACGUAGGGUGCAAGCGUUGUCCGGAAUUAUUGGGCGUAAAGAGCUCGUAGGCGGUCUGUCGCGUCUGCUGUGAAAACUCAGGGCUUAACCCUGAGCUUGCAGUGGGUACGGGCAGACUAGAGUGCGGUAGGGGAGACUGGAAUUCCUGGUGUAGCGGUGAAAUGCGCAGAUAUCGGGAGGAACACCAGUGGCGAAGGCGAGUCUCUGGGCUGUAUCUGACGCUGAUGCGCGAAAGCUAGGGGAGCAAACGGG